rnacentral:rRNA from 1 species
UACGUAGGGUCCGAGCGUUGUCCGGAAUUAUUGGGCGUAAAGGGCUCGUAGGCGGUCCGUCACGUCGGGAGUGAAAACUCAGGGCUCAACCCUGAGCGUGCUUCCGAUACGGGCGGACUAGAGGUAUGCAGGGGAGAACGGAAUUCCUGGUGUAGCGGUGGAAUGCGCAGAUAUCAGGAAGAACACCCGUGGCGAAAGCGGCUCUCUAGAACGGUACUGACGCUGAGACGCGAAAGCGUGGGGAGCGAACAGG